UGCGUAGGCGGGCUAAUAAGUCAGUGGUGAAAUCUCUCGGCUCAACCUGGAAACUGCCAUUGAUACUGUUAGUCUUGAGUUCGGUUGAGGUAGGCGGAAUGUGUAAUGUAGCGGUGAAAUGCUUAGAUAUUACACAGAACACCAAUUGCGUAGGCAGCUUACUAGACCGACACUGACGCUGAGGCACGAAAGCGUGGGGAGCGAACAGGAUUAGAUACCCUGGUAGUCC
rnacentral:rRNA from 1 species